AACGAACGCUGGCGGCGUGCCUAACACAUGCAAGUCGCGCGAGAAAAAGGGGGGCAACUCCCUGAGUAAAGCGGCGCACGGGUGAGUAACACGUAGGUGACCUACCCUUGAGUCCAGGAUAACCUACCGAAAGGUGGGCUAAUACCGGAUAUGACCACGGGGAUCUCGGUCCCUGAGGUGAAAGGUGGCCUCUGUUUACAUGCUACCGCUCAUCGAUGGGCCUGCGCGCCAUUAGCUAGNGGUGGGUAAUGCCCACCAAGGCGAUGAUGGCUAGCUGGUCUGAGAGGAUGGCCAGCCACACUGGGACUGAAACACGGCCCAGACUCCUACGGGAGGCAGCAGUGGGGGAUAUUGCGCAAUGGGCGAAAGCCUGACGCAGCGACGCCGCGU
rnacentral:rRNA from 1 species